rnacentral:rRNA from 1 species
AUUGAACGCUGGCAGCAGGCCUAACACAUGCAAGUCGAACGAGUGGCGGACGGGUGUGUAAUGUCUGGGACACUGCCUGAUGGAGGGGGAUAACUACUGGAAACGGUAGCUACUACCGAAUACCAUCAGAUGUGCCCAGAUUGGUUUAGCUAGUUGGUGGGGUAACGGCUCACCAAGGCGACGAACCCUAGCUGGGCUGAGAGGGUGACCGCUCCCACUGUAACUGCGACACGGUCCAGACUCCUACGGGAGGCAGAAGUGGCUAAUAUUGCACAAGGGGCGGAAGCCUGAUUCAGCGACGCCGCGUGUAUGAAGAAGGCCUUCGGGUUGGAAAGUACUUGCAGCGGGGAGGCGUUACCCACAGAAAAAGCACCGGCUAAGUCCGUGCCAGCCGCCGCGGUAAUAC